AGGACGAACGCUGGCGGCGUGCUUAACACAUGCAAGUCGAACGCCGUCCAUUCGGUGGCAACACUGAUGAAGACGGAGUGGCGAACGGGUGAGUAACACGUGAGCAACCUGCCCCGAAGACCGGGACAACACCGGGAAACCGGUGCUAAUACCGGAUACCCCCAUUGGAUCGCAUGGUCCGAUGAGGAAAUGGAUUCCGCUUCGGGAGGGGCUCGCGGCCUAUCAGCUAGUUGGUGAGGUAACGGCUCACCAAGGCGUCGACGGGUAGCUGGUCUGAGAGGACGAUCAGCCACACUGGGACUGAGACACGGCCCAGACUCCUACGGGAGGCAGCAGUGGGGAAUCUUGCGCAAUGGGCGAAAGCCUGACGCAGCAACGCCGCGUGGGGGACGAAGGCUUUCUGAGUUGUAAACCCCUUUCAGCAGGGACGAUUGUGACGGUACCUGCAGAAGAGCACCGGCCAACUACGUGCCAGCAGCCGCGGU
rnacentral:rRNA from 1 species